UUUCAGAUUAUGAGUAUGAUACAAUUUUAAGAGUGGGUGUAAUCUUAGUUCUGAUUUUCGGGAAAAUUUCUUACCAUGGAAAAGAGAAAUGUUAUCCGACGCAAAUUAUUCUUAAAAUCUGAAUUCUCUUAGAAGUAUAAUGAGGAUUAUUGUUGAAGUAACUACUUCAAGAAAAAGUCUACGCUUUUUCUUUUGUAUACCCGUGACCUGGAGAAUAGAAUUUAGUGAAACAAAAAAUUCGAAAUAAGGAGAGUUUCAUGUUAUUGUGCCUUGGAAUAUAAAUUUUGUUUUGUCUUACAAGGUCUAAAAACAAAAGAGCUAUAAGUAGAUUUGUGCUGCUGUUUCUUAUAGCCUUCAGCUAGAGCUACAUUGUUAACUUUUUAGUAAUAUCCUUUUUGCUAUAAAUAUAUGCUAUCAUAGCUUCUUCUAUUGUAUUGUAACACUGUAAGAGUGAGGAUCUGGAUCAGCAUACACUAUACCCGUUUCCCGAUAAGAGGAAGCGAUUAUCGGAACAAGAUCAUCCUAUUAUCGAAUUUAAAGAUCUAUAUUUGACUCGCUCGAGGAUGAACGCGGAGAUGAACGUUUAAAAAAUCGAACUCGUCUCAAGUGGCCGAAGUGUUGCCAGCUUCUCUUCGAUCACCAACGACGAAGCAUUUACGUCAAAGACUGUAUGACGUCAUCCAAUGAGCUAGAAU